rnacentral:rRNA from 1 species
GACAGAGGUGGCAAGCGUUGUCCGGAAUUACUGGGCGUAAAGAGCGCGUAGGUGGCUAGAUAAGUCCGGUGUGAAAUCCUUCGGCUUAACCGGGGAAUGGCAUCGGGGACUGUAUAGCUAGAGGACGGAAGAGGAGAGCGGAAUUCCGGGUGUAGUGGUGGAAUGCGUAGAGAUCCGGAGGAACACCAGCGGCGAAGGCGGCAUCCUGGACUGGUCCUGACACUCAGGAGCGAAAGCGUGGGGAGCGAUCCGG